rnacentral:rRNA from 1 species
CCAUGCAGUCGAACGGCAGCACGGGCUUCGGCCUGGUGGCGAGUGGCGAACGGGUGAGUAAUAUAUCGGAACGUACCCAAGAGUGGGGGAUAACGUAGCGAAAGUUACGCUAAUACCGCAUACGAUCUAUGGAUGAAAGCAGGGGACCGCAAGGCCUUGUGCUCCUGGAGCGGCCGAUAUCUGAUUAGCUAGUAGGUAGGGUAAUGGCCUACCUAGGCGACGAUCAGUAGCUGGUCUGAGAGGACGACCAGCCACACUGGAACUGAGACACGGUCCAGACUCCUACGGGAGGCAGCAGUGGGGAAUUUUGGACAAUGGGCGCAAGCCUGAUCCAGCAAUGCCGCGUGAGUGAAGAAGGCCUUCGGGUUGUAAAGCUCUUUUGUCAGGGAAGAAACGGCAGGGGCUAAUAUCCUUUGCUAAUGACGGUACCUGAAGAAUAAGCACCGGCUAACUACGUGCCAGCAGCCGCGGUAAUACGUAGGGUGCAAGCGUUAAUCGGAAUUACUGGGCGUAAAGCGUGCGCAGGCGGUUUUGUAAGUCUGUCGUGAAAGCCCCGGGCUCAACCUGGGAAUUGCGAUGGAGACUGCAAGGCUUGAAUCUGGCAGAGGGGGGUAGAAUUCCACGUGUAGCAGUGAAAUGCGUAGAGAUGUGGAGGAACACCGAUGGCGAAGGCAGCCCCCUGGGUCAAGAUUGACGCUCAUGCACGAAAGCGUGGGGAGCAAACAGGAUUAGAUACCCUGGUAGUCCACGCCCUAAACGAUGUCUACUAGUUGUCG